UACGGAGGGUGCGAGCGUUAAUCGGAAUUACUGGGCGUAUAGCGCGCGUAGGCGGUUUGUUAAGUCAGCUGUGAAAGCCCCGGGCUCAACCUGGGAACUGCAGUUGAUACUGUCCGACUAGAGUACGAGAGAGGGAGGUAGAAUUCCAUGUGUAGCGGUGAAAUGCGUAGAUAUAUGGAGGAAUACCAGUGGCGAAGGCGGCCUCCUGGCUCGAUACUGACGCUGAGGUGCGAAAGCGUGGGGAUCAAACAGG
rnacentral:rRNA from 1 species